rnacentral:rRNA from 1 species
CCAGACUCCUACGGGAGGCAGCAGUGAGGACUCUUGGUCAAUGGCCGCCCGUCUGAACCCGCCCCGUAGCGUGCCGGCUGACGGCCCUCCGGGUUGUAAACUGCUUUUAGUUGGGAAUCACAGGGGGCUCGUGCGCCCCGUAUUGUAUGUACCAUCAGAAAAAGGACCGGCUCAUUCCGUGCCAGCAGCCGCGGUAAUACGGAAGGUCCGGGCGUUAUCCGGAUUUAUUGGGUUUAAAGGGAGCGUAGGCCGGCUUUUAAGUCAGCUGUGAAAGUCCGCGGCUCAACCGUUGAAUUGCAGUUGAAACUGGAGGCCUUGAGUGCACACAGGGAUGCCGGAAUUCAUGGUGUAGCGGUGAAAUGCUGAGAUAUCAUGAAGAACUCCGAUCGCGAAGGCAAGUGUCCGGGGUGCAACUGACGCUGAGGCUCGAAAGUGCGGGUAUCAAACAGGAUUAGAUACCCUUGUACC